GACGAACGCUGGCGGCGUGCUUAACACAUGCAAGUCGAACGGAAAGGCCCUGCUUUUGCGGGGUGCUCGAGUGGCGAACGGGUGAGUAACACGUGAGUAACCUGCCCUUGACUUUGGGAUAACUUCAGGAAACUGGGGCUAAUACCGGAUAGGAGCUCCUGCUGCAUGGUGGGGGUUGGAAAGUUUCGGCGGUUGGGGAUGGACUCGCGGCUUACCAGCUUGUUGGUGGGGUAGUGGCUUACCAAGGCUUUGACGGGUAGCCGGCCUGAGAGGGUGGCCGGCCACAUUGGUACUGAGAUACGGCCCAGACUCCUACGGGAGGCAGCAGUGGGGAAUAUUGCACAAUGGGCGGAAGCCUGAUGCAGCAACGCCGCGUGCGUGAUGACGGCCUUCGGGUUGUAAACCGCUUUCGCCUGUGACGAAGCGUGAGUGACGGUAAUGGGUAAAGAAGCACCGGCUAACUACGUG
rnacentral:rRNA from 1 species